AUUUUAUUGAGCCAUAUUAAAAAAGUAAAAAGACACACACUCUUCUCGUGCGACACAGAACCGGGACCCCCGUACAGAACAUUUUACUGUUUUCCCUUAAUACCCAGGAAACAUGCACUAACCUGGUAAAUACCUGCUUCAUGGAGAGUAGUCUUUCAGGAUUCAUACCCUCAGGACAUUGUUGGGGACCUACUGGACUGAACAAAGGCGGGCAACACGGGAAUAAAAGACAAGAGACAACAGAGUAUAUUUGGAAGAAGGGGUUAGGGGCACCUUGCCUUUAGUGGACAAGGGCCCUGAGCUUUACACAGCCCUCCGUAUUUAUUAGGCAAAAAGAGAUAGCGAGAAAGCUGGGGGAGGGGGGUGAUUGUCAGUCUGCCGUUUGGUUCACAGUAGUCUUGCAUUUUUUGGACAAUAGGCACUAGAUUUUUUAGGCAGAUAACUUUAAGGAGCCCGGAGCUAGGGAGUGAUGUCUGUUAGCAAACCUUUUGGUGGCAGGGCAGUGUGAGUUUGCCCACAUCCUGCAUUCAUGAUAAACAGUUUGCUGUUUGUAGCCUCCAGCGGAAUGCUGAGUUGGUCACGAAGCUCAGUCCCAUCCGCCUUUCUCAUGCCCCUUCCCUUUCCCGUCCUCCCUCCUCUCCUCUCACCUGCGUGGUAACAACGAUUGUGACACUCGGUUUUCUUAAGAGGUGCACGUGAUUCAUUUUUAAAAUUCCCUCAAAAGAACGUUUUCUUGAAUUGAAACUAAUGAUCAAA
rnacentral:lncRNA from 1 species